rnacentral:rRNA from 1 species
AUUGAACGCUGGCGGCAUGCUUUACACAUGCAAGUCGAACGGUAACAGGCCUUCGGGUGCUGACGAGUGGCGAACGGGUGAGUAAUGCAUCGGAACGUACCCAGAGGUGGGGGAUAACGCAGCGAAAGCUGUGCUAAUACCGCAUGUGAUCUGAGGAUGAAAGCGGGGGACCGAGCAGCAAUGUUUGGCCUCGCGCCUUUGAAGCGGCCGAUGUCGGAUUAGCUAGUUGGUGGGGUAAAGGCCUACCAAGGCGACGAUCCGUAGCUGGUCUGAGAGGACGACCAGCUACACUGGGACUGAGACACGGCCCAGACUCCUACGGGAGGCAGCAGUGGGGAAUUUUGGACAAUGGGCGCAAGCCUGAUCCAGCAAUGCCGCGUGCGGGAAGAAGGCCUUCGGGUUGUAAACCGCUUUUGGCAGGAACGAAACGGUGUCCGCUAAUACCGGGCGCUAAUGACGGUACCUGCAGAAUAAGCACCGGCUAACUACGUG